rnacentral:rRNA from 1 species
UACGUAGGGGGCUAGCGUUGUCCGGAAUCAUUGGGCGUAAAGAGCGUGUAGGCGGCUUGGUAGGUCCGCUGUGAAAACUCGAGGCUCAACCUCGAGAUGUCGGCGGAAACCACUUGGCUAGAGUCCGGAAGAGGAGAGUGGAAUUCCCGGUGUAGCGGUGAAAUGCGCAGAUAUCGGGAAGAACACCUAUGGCGGAAGGCAGCUCUCUGGGACGGUACUGACGCUGAGACGCGAAAGCGUGGGGAGCGAACAGGAUUAGAACU